UACGGGGGGAGCAAGCGUUGUUCGGAUUUACUGGGCGUAAAGGGCGCGUAGGCGGCCACCGCAAGUCGGUUGUGAAAUCUCUGGGCUUAACCCAGAAAGGUCAACCGAUACUGCGGGGCUAGAGUGCAGAAGGGGCAACUGGAAUUCUCGGUGUAGCGGUGGAAUGCGUAGAGAUCUGCAAGAAUACCCGUGGCGAAGGCGGCCAGCUGGGCCGGUUCUGACGCUGAGGCGCGAAAGCGUGGGGAGCAACAGGG
rnacentral:rRNA from 1 species